AGAAAACCCAGAAAUUCAAGACGUGGGUUGGGUCAAACGAUGAGCAGGACAGGAGUGUGCUGUAAUUGUGCAUUACAUCCUGAGCUGCCCAGUGUUUAUCCUGACAUCUCUCAAAUGUCAAAACAUUAAGAAACUCACUACCGUACCUGCACAGAGUGAGGGUUGUGAACACUUGGAUCAAUCUACCAGAGAGCCUUGUGACAGCACAAAGUGUGAGCUCAUUCAAGAUGAGAAUUGACCAACACUGGCACAGGUACAGAUACAUCCUGGAACUAGUACAGGUACAUGCCCAAUACUGGCCAACAGUGCAUAACAGAUGUAACUGUUGUGGCUAACAAGUCAAUCCGUGGUGAAAAGGAUAAGGUUAAGUAAAGCAUUACAGUAUAGUACAUUGUGCUUGGACUAUCUGAGGGUGAUAAAUCACUUUAACAAUAAAACAUUCUGUACCAAGCAAAGGUUCCGACAGGUAUCAGCUGAAAGGCAUUUAACACUUUUAUAGAAAAAUUUUAUCCCAUUUUCUACAGGUAAAAAUUGAAGUUUAGUAAAGUCAUUGAGCACUUACAUUUUGG